ACUCCUACGGGAGGCAGCAGUGGGUAAUUUUGGACAAUGGGGGCAACCCUGAUCCAGCAAUGCCGCGUGAGUGAAGAAGGCCUUCGGGUUGUAAAGCUCUUUUGUCAGGAAGAAAAUCUCUGGUUAAUACCUCGGCAAAUGACGUACUAAGAA
rnacentral:rRNA from 1 species